UUCUCUUCCUUGUCUCUCAGUCAGCGAUUGAUGUCGGGCUCUGCAGAUCGGGCAAGUUAGGAACUAAUGCUUCCUCCAGUCGCCAACUGGAGCCAGUUCCUUUCAUAUGGUAUCGAGACCAGGUUCAAUCCUGCCUCGGUCCGUAUUGGAGCUGUUUUCCCAUCGUCACUGCUUUUGCACUUCGCGCCACCGCACGAUCGUUUGUUUGCCGGCCCGUGUUGCCGGUCGUUCACCCGCAUCUCGUAACUACCGGGUUCAUCGCUCUUCGGUACUGACAUUCAGCUUUGUACGCUACUGUUGUGUGCAAGUCGGCUCAAGUCGCUCCACUCCGAGUGUAACAGUUGGUGUCACAACUUGAAAUCGGAGCUCUUUCCUUUUCAGUUGGAUCAGAACGCCUUACCGUCGUUCGACAGUCGGCCAAGUUUGGACACCUUGCGCUGGACUGCAGUUUCACGUUCGUUUCGGGCUCAAGAAUGGGCCAUAUCCGUUUGCUUCUAUCGUUUGCGGAAGCUGACAACCCGCCGUCUACCUCGUUCGUUCAACGUUAAUCGCCGUGCCCUGGUCGCCAGUAUGCCUGCCCGUCGUGUAGGUUGUAUGCGUGCUCGUGUUGCAGCAGCCUCCACGGCAGGAGUGCACCGGGUUGACAGCGACUGGAUGCUUGCGUACCCCACGUUUCACGAGUUCAAUCGUUUUCGUAAUCUUCGUCGUCGAUCCAACGUCACGCUAAAGGCCAUCACAUCUCAUCAUGCCAUGGAGCUCGAUGUUGGCCCUUGUGUCGGUGUGCCCCUGUGUUUUGGCUCAAGUCGACCGGGGCGCCCAGCCGAGUGCUCAAAAGAGACCUACCAUCACCUUCACGAGAUUCUCCGUUCUUACUUUCCUUCGAGUUCUCAUGUGUGCUUAUGUGUGCAGUAGAUGCAAUCAUUCCGGAGCUCACACAGUCAUGCGUUUCAUUUGAGCCAAGCUAUGUUGUCUUUGGGUUUUCCUUAGCUGGAACACCUUGCCUUAUGUGGUUAGCUGUCUGAGUCCCAUAUGUAGUCAUGCCAUGGCAUUGUAUGGGGGUGCAGUUGCCUGAGCAUGCCCACUGUUGUGAUGAAAGCAGUGAGUUGCAGUAUGCAAGGGAACCUUGUGCUUGCGACUGUAAUGGCAACGAGGACGUUGCAGCUUUGAAAGACCGGGGAAAUUUAAGGGAUUUGUGUUCGUUACCGAGUACGUAUGGUUUGGCUUUGAUCGGUACGACUCUGUGUCGUGCAAGGCUUUGCCAGACUAUUUAAGGCAUUCCUACACCAUUAUUUGUAAGCUUAGUAUUCUUCUCUUCCUUGUCUCUCAGUCAGCGAUUGAUGUCGGGCUCUGCAGAUCGGGCAAGUUAGGAACUAAUGCUUCCUCCAGUCGCCAACUGGAGCCAGUUCCUUUCAGCUGCGGUGCAGAUGUGGCCGAUGCAAGGAAAUUGUGUUCGUCACCCAACAACAAUCCGAGGCCCCUGUGAGCUUUGGUACACAUAUAUCAAGAGGCGAAAAUUAUUUCUUCUCAGUUGUGUGUGUGCGACUGUAUGCUGCGGUGCAGUGAGUCCCAUGCCUCGUACACAUUUCAGCGUACGUAAGCAUUUCGGACGCAGUGCAAACCUAUUUUGUUAAAUUCACAUAGGCCUGAUAAUUCUGUAAUUACUUUGAUGCGCUGUGCCAACUAUUGUUGCCAAAUGCGUUCACUGGUGGUUUUCGGCAUGUUUACACUUGCCGCAGGUGAGCUAUUGAUAGGCAAUUAUCAGCCUUAAUGCUGCGAGUUUUAUACGUCAAGCACGUAUGCCUUUUGCCGGGAGCGUUCCGAUGAAAAUGAAUGAGACAUGCUUUACCGUCAGGCGAGCUUCUUGGAAUUACAGCUGGCGUGACACCCUCGUGGAGUCCUAUACGAAAAUGUGACUAGCGACUGGACCCAAUCAGCUGCGGAUCUGAUGCGAAGCCAUGCUCUGAUGUCUGGUCAAUCGGAUGGCCAGUUGCACACGUCGGUCUAUGAGCACACCAGCAGCCAUCCUAACAAGUAUGCAAUCUUAACAUCUCUGAACUGCAGGCGCGCAAUCAGAUCACUUCUCUUGGCUUAGUACAGGACGUUGGCGUUGUCGACAUGUCAGCUCAACUUGCAGCUGCCGCAUGUUACGAAUCACGCGUGGUUCUGCGAAUCUGCGCAAACAGGUAUUUUUGCCUUGUGGCGCAAUAUUCAAGCAACUGCUCCCCAGCGGUCGUGUGCACGCGUGUAUUUGCAUCACAUCGCCCAACCAAGCAGCAAACAGCUCAAAGCCCCAGCCCAGCCCGCAUCUCGUGUGUCGUUGCGCAUUGUGUGUGUUGUGUGUGUGUGAUGCCUGCUGUAAUACAUUUGCCAUAUUGCAUAUUGUCAGGUUAUUGGUCUGACCGUCCUGCUUGCGCCCUGCCUAAUCCCCUCCCUUCCCCCAUUGCGGGGCGCGCCUUGGGCUCGGACAUGCCUGAGUGCGAUGCAUUCCCGGCGAUGGAGGACAUGACAAGGUGAUAUCAUCUUCUUGAUGGGCAUCGUUGGCGAGUAAAGGGCGAUGACUUCAGCUUCGCCCAGAUACAUGUACGGUGGGUUUUAGGGAUCGCAGGGGGACAAUAUCGCAGGGGGACGUGCCGCUUGUCGUACCUUCGUGUGAAGUGCGUAACUGUAAUGUCCUGUCGGGCAUCCUCGUGCAAUCAUGUUUGGUUGGCGACUGGCAAGUCGCAGCAGCAGCAGCAGUAGCAGCAGCACGCCAGCAGCAGCAGCACAGCGCAGCAAAGCAUCUUAGGGAAGUCAGCAAAGCCGAGUCAGCACUGCUAGGCGCCAACCAAAGAGUGACUGUCGUACUUCGUGUGUCAUGCAUCUGUAACUUUAACACUAGUUUUCCCAUAGCUUACUAAAUGCUUCCCCCUCACCCUUCCGCCCGCUACUGCUUCUGCCCUUCCCCCGUCGCAUCAUCCUUAUGACCGGCUCGUGGCGAGGAGGCGGCGAGGAGGCAAUCCCCCGUAAACGGCUACGCGGCUCGGCGGCUCGGCGGCUUGGCGGCUUGGCGCGACGUUGCGACAUACCCGUCGAGAGGAUUCUAUGACACGUAUCGUAUGCUCGUACAGGUGAGCGAAAAGCGGACGGUUAGCGUGUGUACGAUAAUUGCAUCACGUGUUGACCACUGUAAAGCACACUGACUUGGGCACAUGUCCUGCAUGCUUAGCGAGGGUUACACGGUCAAGGUUGGCUGGCGGUCAGCAGCAGCAACAAACCCUGUAGGAAAGAUGGCCUGCCUUUACUGCAGCAGUAGGAAAGACAGAACAGCGCUGCUGACUGCCAGCCACAUGAUCGCUCCGCCCGGAUGUGCGUGCUCUUUGUUUGGAGCCAGCUUUUUGUAUGCGCGAAUUCUCUCCCGUUUGGUUUUUAACGUACUACAUAUUACCGCCCUGUUGUCUCGUCAAUCUGAUUUUGCCAGUUCUCGCCGGUACAUGUCGCAUGUCGCACGUACAUGCGUCAGCUCCACCUCCGCAUUCCCCUUUUUAUUCAAGGUCUGUGGCGUCAGCUUCACCCGGCUGCCUUGACUGCUGCUGCAGCAGGCGGGCAGGGACAUGGAUGGGUCCCUACUGACUGGACUCCGCUACCCUGUUCUGACGGAUUGAAGCAGCGGCCGAAUCACCAGCUCUGUGCAUUAGCUUAAUCGGGCCUGCUGUAAUAAGCUACUGCUUGGCCCCGACAUUGCGGACCAGGAACAGCAGGUGCUUUCAGGGGGAGCAAUGUGCUUCUAAAUACCACCCCCCACCAUCGAGCGCAAGCUUGGCAAAAGGAGUAUUUUGCCGUGCACUGGUCCGUGGCCCAUCCCUGUUGUUUUCAUACCUUUCUCGGCCUUUUGGCUCAGAUCAUGUGUAGUAUCUGUUCUUAUUAGCUCUUUCCGUCGCACUCCUGCGACUUAUUCUAGCCCUGUACGGUCCAGCCGUACACACCAAGGACAUUCAACCGAGUACACGCUCGGCAAAUACACAGAAAACGUAGGUUUUCUUUCGUUUCGCUCAUAAAGCCUACUAGUACAGUUACAGGCGCGAUAUCUGACGCGCAGCUCCACCUCCGCAUUCCCCUUUUUAUUCAAGGUCUGUGGCGUCAGCUUCACCCGGCUGCCUUGACUGCUGCUGCAGCAGGCGGGCAGCUAUAGGGACAUGGAUAGAAGCGGUCUCGAUUCCCAUUGCAGGGAGCUGGCAGCUUCAUGGAGAGGCCUCUCACGGUGCUGUUGAAGUGCCCUUGUGCUUAACUGUAUAAGAUGAUAUGUGUGCCAUAUACUGUUAUACGUAUAACAGUGGUAUACCACAACUUCAGAGACGUACCAAUCGGUGGAUGCAGAUCUCAUGAUAUGCCCGGGGUACUCUACACAUAUUAUGAACAGCUGCUACAUUCAGGACACCCUCAACCUUCUCACGCAUGAUGACUUCUGAUAAGUCAGUGAUUUUUUUCGGGUUCAGCGCCCACCAUCAUCCAGUGGAAUUGCCAGAUCAAUGGUGGUGACAUCUCCAUUCCACUCCACAUACACCGCUCCACUAUUCAACUCCACUCCAAACAGGAUCGGCAUCCAUGCAUCCAUGCAUCCUCUUAUGGUCGAGGAACGUUAUUCUGCUGUUCAUCAAGAUCGACUCUGGAACCUUCCGGGGACACUACACCGCACCUUGAAAACAUAUUUGUUGCAACUAGAGCCGUAUGUUGUAUGUUUAACAGCAGCUUUAUUGCACAUGCAGUUUAUGUACAAGCAAGCAAGAGGCAGAGUGGGUGCUACAUACUGAUGUACCUAUCUGACGGGCAUGCACACCCAGCCAUGCAUGUAUGCAACAGUCCAUUCCAGACAAAGGCAUGCCACCUGCGCAGGUCGCCAAUAUACCCACCUACUUCAUAUGAACCGUGCACACCACGCUGAGUCCAUUGCAUAUAACUGGGCAUCCUAUUAUCGACUCAUCCUUCUAUGUAGCCAUCCAGCAGAUACACGCAUGCCUAUGCACGUAUGAGGGCAUGCAUCCGUACAUGUUCAUAUGAACGUGUACGCUUGGGGAAAUGCAUAUCUGCAGAUUCUGCUAGACGGGGCUACACCAUACCUCCAUGCGGCGAUUGAUACCAACCACGUAAGUGCAGGCAGCUAAUAGAUCGUCAACUAUCCCUCAUUGAAACUUACAAAUUAAAAGGUAAUGAAACCGAGUUGGCGAUGCAGCAUGUCGGAGAGAAAUAUAGGUAAACGGUGCAGCUACUGCCCAGGCAGAAGGUUUGGAGUUUGCUAGGGUCAAAUCCCCCGAGGCAGACUUUGGCCCGACCCAUCAUAGAAAGCUGCCGAACCUGCUGCAUUGUCCAAUCCGCCGGGAAUUCUGAAACUAGUGAUAGGGUAUUGGAGAUGAACUCGCCCCAAGGUAGAGUGUUCCACACCAACGAUUGCUGUGUGAGCAUAUCAACGCUCCGGUGGCGGAACACAGCAUACAUUUGACUGGACUGCAUUCCAGCAUUGCCGACAAGAAUUAGGCCGCCGAGCCGGGCUGUAUUGGCCGUGGCACAACCCUGCAUGUGGCGCCCAAGGUGGGCAUUUGUGAAAGGGAGCGAGGAAAGAAGGGACAGAUAUGAGAUAUGAGGACUUUGCAGAGUCUCGCAGGGACAAACAUUCCAUUUCCUUGUAAAAAUGGGAAGGGGAACUAUUGUAGUUAACUGCCGAAUGCACAUGAGGUAUGAAGGUCUUCACUGCACACCAGUGAAACGCACUGAAACACAAGUGGUAGUGAUUACUGAACUGUUUAAUGCAUAUGUAUGGUUUGCUAGUGAGGUAGGCCUCUCUGUUCCUGGACAGUAAUAUCAGGGUGAACGGGCGAGGUGGUAGCCAGCACGUGUGCUUUGGCAAGCCUGGUUCUUGAUCCUUGAAUGGUUGAUCAUAUGGAUAGAUGGGGUGGUGGUCACAUGAUGGUUGCGAGUGUAAUUAAUAGUUUAUUACAACCUCCAAGAUUAACACAUACACAUAACAAUGUUAACAUAUUCUUACACUGUUAGUAGAAGGAGGAAGCGGUGCGAUGGCAGUCGGUUUUAGUUCAAGUGAAAAGCAGGGCAGUCCAGGUGACAGCAAUCUGCCCUCUACGACGAUGUUGUUUUCCACCUGUAUGUGCAGCGGACGAAAUGUGGUGAUAGAAAAAAUUGGAGUAGGGUGGAGCAUGGAUGGACUAUCCAAGCCUCCAUACACCAUCUGUAGUAGCUGGCCUCUGAAAAAGCUUCCCGAGAUGCUACUGGUAAAGCGCUUUGCGCAUAUUCAUAGUUGUUAUGUGUGCCGUACAGUGUACCAGCUACUACGCCAUCAAGCCAAAUGUCUGCCUGCCAGCUGUAGACACAUCGCCUGGAUGGUACACACUAUUACAUACACGCUGCAAAUUUUCGUUUGUUAUGCCAGAAGACUUUUCACUGUGACCCAUUGUUUAUGCUAACCCUUCGUAUUUUAAAUCUUUUGCUAGCUGUCACAUCUAACCAGUGCUUGGGCGUCAUAGCUAUCGUACGGUACGACACACAUAAAUAAAUACAUCUACAUGCUAAUAAAGCACAUUGUAGUAUCCUGGGCAAAUCACGGGAUAUGCAUCCUCCCAUCGGUACUUUCCUGACGUCGUGAUAUGGCACACAAUCACAGCCUUACAGGUAUGGGGUCACGCACCCCCAACCAUGUAACGCACACACGCACACACACACACACACAUACACACAUACACACACACACACAUACGCACAAUCACAGCCGCUUGCGAGGCCUUUCGGAAUGCAUGUCUCCCUCCUUUACCACAUUGUCGGCCAGCAAGUGUCCCAAAGCAAAUAUUAACUCCUUUGUAUCGCUUUUCAGCUUUUUGUAUCGCUUAGUCCUAGUCGGCGGGAUAUUGAUUAUUCCGCACGCAGAGCACUUGCAGUCCCAGGAUGUGGGCUCGCAUUCCCGGGAUGUGGUCCAUCCAUCAAUUGCGCCGGAAAUAACUUCACUAUUGCUCCCACAUGCAUGGCACCCGCUGCAGCUGUGUGACCCACUUCCUGCUUUGUUUGUUCUUAUCACAUAUCCCUCAAUAGACGUGCUUUGUCGCUGAUUCACAAACUGAAGAAGCAUUUGGCAAAUCGUACGAAAAUCGUGCAAUUCAGGCAUACAGACAGACAGACAGACAAACAUAUAGGCAUACAGACCUGUAUAUCACGUACUCGGAAAGGAUUACUUGGUUCAUCGCUUCUUGAGCAUGACAGGGUAUUGGGGGAUGACUGUUGUUGGUUAGGAUUAAGCAACCCUGCUGGUGGCCGUGCAGCCAGCUGUAUUGCAGAGCAGUCUACCUGACCCCACGCGGGAUUACCAACAGGUGAGCCAGGUGCGGGGCCCACCCCAACCGCCAGCCUCCAGUUUGCUGCGGCGCUUGGGCUGCUGGCGGAAGCAAGGCAACUGAAGCUGCGGCCGGGGGGGAAUAUGUAGUCGAAUACAUCUGACAGGGCGCUGUUGACCGCGUCCAGCAUGCUCUCUGUCUUCCCAGCAGGGAUUUGGGAACAAACGAAAACAUCCGUUGCAUCACAACUCCGCUGUACCCAAUCCUGGGAGAGGCCUCUUGAGUUCACCCUAUCGAUUACAAAUCUGCUGACCGCCUCCAUGAGGGUAGAACUGGAGACUUGGGACCUGCCACAGGUCUCGCUGGUGCUAGGUGGCAAAGAUGAAAUGAACAUCAGACGGAUACAGACCGUCGCUUGGGCUGGGGGUGGGGGGUAUGGCCAUGGAGGUGGUGGGCUGGGCGGCGGGGGUGGGGGUGGCGGAAGAGGAGGACGGGGAGACGGGCGAGGCGGUGGGGGGGGUGGACGGGGAGGUGGGGGAGGUGGUGGAGGGGGCGGUGGCGGCUGAGGCCGCCUUUGGCUCGGGAGCCCAGGGGUUUGGGGCCCAAGGGAGAUACAUGAACUCCGGCGCUGGAUGUUGUGAAAGCACAACCGGCCAUCUUGCGGCAGUGUCACAACGGAAGCGGUGAAGUUGUACGGGGCCGCAGAUCGCGGUGGACACCACUCAGGCAGCAAGUCGUCAACGAAGCGUUGGAGUAGUCCGUUCGCCAGUCGGUUAGAGGUGGUGCCGAUGACGUUUGGUCGGCGGAAAUAUGCACCGCACACAGUCAUGUAAGGGCGCUUCGCUGUGCCUGUAGCUGUCACAUUGCCAGGGUAACACGCCUUCAGUUCAAAUGGCUUUUGAAGGAUAUCACUCCUGCUGUAACUGCUAAUGGCUACACCAGUAAUGUUGUCCAUAGCCAAGGCGAUAGGGGAUGCCGCCUGGCUGCACCGCUCCUCGUCCAGCUCCAACCGAAAUCCAACCAUUUCCAAUGCGGGCGCCAUGACCUCAAUCUUUAUGCAAACCUCGCACACUGAUAGAGGCGGUCCCGCCGUCGGGGACGGCGGCAAUGGUGGUUUCGGGAGUCGUAAUGGAGGCUGGUUGGGUAUUGUUGGAGAGGGUGAUGGCGGUGGCAUGCUAAGGGAUGGGUGUGGCGGCGGUGGUGGGGGCUCCUGUAUCACACACGUUUGGGUGCUAGUGGCGUCGAACAAACAGGAGCGGCGCCCUUCUUGCACGUAGCCCCGUGUCGUGAAGCUGUAACCGUGAGCAGCAUCACCGCAUGCGGGGCCGCCCCCGCUGGCCCCCUUGGCUGUCAGAUACCCCCUGGUAAGGAGAGACAUGGGCACAUCUCCGGGGCUUACGAAGUUGUGGAGCCGCUCUUUGGCCUUGUUGGCCUGGAAGGCUGAUAGGAACGUGCCGCACACUCGCAGGAGCUGCGUUGUGGUGAAGGCCGUCGUGCUGAUGAUGCAGAUGUCAAACCCAAACCCGCUGACGAGUCCACCCUUGGAAAGAUUUUCGAUGCGCAGCUGGUUGUUUAUAUAGUCUGUCACGAUGUCUGCGGCUUUGGAGCAAUUUAGCAAGAAGGUGAUUUGCCCAGCUGGUAAAGUGUGUGGCGGCGCCACGACAAGGAACUCCACGCAGAAUCGGCAAGGACGUGGGGAUUUUUGAAGGACUGCCGGCCGGCCGACGCUUGGGGUAUCGCCAGAAGCAUAGGAAUCUUCCAGAAGCCUUGGUUUACCUGGCUGAUCCACAGCAGCCUGGCGAUGUUCUGUAUACGCAACUGGCUUUAGUAGUCAAGCGAAGAACCGACAACGACGGGGAGUGCGAUGUCUCACCUGACGUCUUGGGCGAUGCCGCUGGGGUAGGCUGCGUAUAUAUUAAGUUUGUUAAUGACUGUUCGCUGCGGACGGGACAGGCAGUACCGAAAGCCCUGCGAGUGGAACAAGUCCGCGCCGUUGGCUGGGUAGAAACUUAGCUGAAACUGAGUCGCAUCCUACCGACGGCAAUCAUGGCAUAAGCUCUCAACUUACAGAAUUAUUAUAGCUUUGAUAAUAUAGAUACUACCCUCGCGCGCAUUGGCACGGAAAGCCCUUCGGCGUUCCAUGUCCUUACUAUUGCGCUACCAUGUCAAAGGCAGGAUGCUCUAUGCUAUAAAACUUGGCAUAAAUAUAGAUUUGUAUUUAUUUUGUGUUGAACUCCGUAUAAAUUAUCUUGGGUAGUGCUAGGGACGCACGGGUUAUCGUUCGCGGCGUUUGCGAGGUAGCAAGAUGGCAUAGCUUUUUUGGGGGUAUUUGUUGAUGAAAUUGUAUGCGUCGCAAAUUGUUUUGUAAUUGUAUAGUGUCUUUACAGGCAACUAUAUGACUGUGAGUAACUCGAUGCGUUUCAAGUCAUGGGCGAUUCAAGCAGAAACAUCGGCACGGGAGAUCGACGAAAAAUACGUACGAGCUUUUGCGGGUGGCAUAACAUCACACGCCUUUAGGCUCCAUCUCAAGAUUGCUCGGCGGACUUCCAGUUCGAACGCGCGCUACAUCGCCAUUCGUGGUUCCUGGCCUGCUAUAUAUGUAAAUCAACACUACAUCCAGGUUUCGGCGUUCAACGAGUGGUAGUAGAAAAACAAUGAACAACUGGCGAACCGCGCGCGCCAUGACACGCCUACUUCAGUAGCAUGCAAAACAUAGCGUCUCCUUGAGCUGCCCGAAGCACAAAUAGGAGCUAUUACCUACAUAGAACCAAAUGGAAGCAAUUGACGGCCUAAGAGUAGUAAAGCAUUUAGUAUUCAAUCUAACCAGGUAUACGCAGGUAGAGGCUCCUCUACCUGGAUCCAAAGGGCAGUCCUCGCCGGCAUUAGCUAUGCGCCCUAAAUAUGCAGGGCAUAUGACAAUCCAAUGACGCCUGAAUCAAAUGACGCUGUUGGUCACCGUCAGCCGGCAGGGCAUGUACCCUCCUUGCUUCCGUUUCCGCAUGUUGCCGCCCAUCUGCUCUUCUUGUCCCCAUUGCGGCUUACCCCGACCACCCUUUGCUUCGGGACAGUUCGUAACCUUGCUUAGUAGCCUUUGGGAGCCUAGUCGUGGAGUCCCUGCUCGCGGCCCUUGCAUCGGUGAGUCGUUACCUCGCUAUAUAGAGAGCAAACAUAUCACGAAUGAUGAUGCUCGUGGAAAUUUGUCUGUUAACUUAUUGGUUGGUAGGAAUGUCCCUAGGGCUGUCUGGUCCCCCCCACCCCCGGGGUCUGCUGCAGAUACCACUUUUACAGCUUAGUAACCCCCUGGCCCAACUCGUCCCCACGCUGCCCCGGCCACCCUGCCCUGCUAACUCACGCACCAUCUCGGAUUCGCCUUUAUGUGCCCCAGCUCGUUCACAAGGUUGUUCACGCCCCUACACGCCUGCAUUUGCACAUGCCCAUGUUCACAUGUUGGGGGCCCAGCCCACCAUGUCGCCUUUACGGAGACACGUAUGCAUGGGUGGCACGCACUGCAACAUUCCCUUGACGCCCAUAUUAUGGGUGAUGAAUGAAUGUGGAAAAACGACGCCAAUCCUGCUGUGUGGCAGGUACUUGCUCGCUGCAAUACCCCCGCACUCGCUCCCAAUCUAUCAGGCCCUUCAUUACCCUAAGUCCUCUCCUAGCCCGCUCCUGAGUAAUCUCGUGCCGUACCAGCGCCUGUACCGCUCUAGUGCGCCUCGGGGGUGUGCAAGGCGCGGUGCAGUGGCGGGUGUUUGGCCUAACUCAAAACCUCGUGAUCUACCGCAUCCGUCGACCUACGCACCCACCACCUUACUGACCACGCUCCACGCACGCUCCCGAAAUAUGUUUGCGGCGGACCAGAUUGUUAUAUGUAUGGGUUGACCGGCUAAGAACAAAGCAGCAAAGAAUGCAUCAGUACAUGCAUGUGCACAUUGCUCUUCCCCCAAGUGCAACUGUACACAGAUGCACGCACACAGAUGCACGCACAUACAGGGAAACAAGCGUUUCCUUCAGGUACACGCACGCAGGAAUAAGCAGCUCCAGGAAGAGGGGAUACAUACAGCCCAUAGCCACACGGGUCGCAACAACAGAAGAAGGAAAAGCAACAGUAACAACAACAACGAUGACGAUGACAACGACGACGCGUCAAAUGCGAACAGAGAGGUCUAUUUAGGUCUCCGCGUUCUGAUGGAGCUACAGCUCCAGCUCCGUACAGCCAGGUGUGUACGGCAUGCCGCAUUGGCGGCUCCAGGGUCGAUAUGCGGAAUAAAAAAUCCCACCGGCAGAAAAACUUCGUCCAAAGUGAAUCCAAAACCAGUGAAAAAAGGUGAGCGAGACAAUGAAAAGAGCGAUGUGAGUGAGCAAGUGAGCAGGUGGGCUCGUGGGCUGGUUGAGCAAUUAGAAGGUCCCCAGGAGGCGCCCCAUAUCAUCCGCCUGUCAGUCAUCCACCAGGUUGAGCGUCGGUCCCAAGCGAGGUACACAGACCGUGACAUUCGCAGCAGCACCUAAUGCAUGUAUGGACAAAGGUCCGAAGAGCCGGCCUCCCAUAGUUGGAAAGGCCAUGGGCGGUCAUGAAGAGCGAGUAAACGAACCAAGGUUCAUCAACACAAUCCUCCGACGGAUCAUCACGAGGGGGAGCCACUAACACAACUUGGCCCCCUUGCUUUAAUCCGAAUUGGUGAUGAGGGAUCUUCAACGUCGCAGAUGGAACCGUAAUCACAUCGCCAUCCACGCCAGCCAUACGUUUUAGCCAUACAUUUUAGCCAUACAUACAUACAUACAUACAUACAUACAUACAUACAUACAUACAUACAUACAUACAUACAUACAUACAUACAUACCCAAAAGUCCUUCCGAUGGUGGAAGGCAUUGCGCCCCUAGUUGAUGGACGGUGGUGACCUGGGAUAAAGUUAACCCGCGAGCCGACCAGGAAUGGAGUUGGGCCGCUGUCGACCCGGCAGAUUCCGUUGGAUGCUGGUGGUGGGUGCGGAACCUGAGCGAUCCACUGAGAAGUUGACUAGGGUGACUGGAUGAGGGUGCCCCGAAAUACCGGGGAAGGCAGGGUUUCGCAGGGUAGCUGCCACGGGCGAAGAUACACCCCCCUGUUUCACACAUCAUACAUACCAAGCAAACGCACGGCCCCACCCUACUACUGCGGCGAAGACACGAAUCCCGUUCCACGCCCGCCGUUACUUGCCGUGCCUCCGUUGAGUCACAUGUGGUGCCGCCAUAACGCCCCCGCCCGGCACAGCCACCACCGCCCAGAGGCACCACCGCGGGGAUGAGGGGGAUGAGGGGGUUGUGGCCCGGUGCGAACAGACGGCCGUAAACAGCCGUUGCAGCUAAGAUAAGAAAAUAAAUCUAGAAAAGCCCCGCCACGCAUGAUUCCAUGCUGAGAGGCAAUAAUGAGGGCGUCAAAAAAUGGUUCAUGAAAACCGACCGACGUUUAGCCUGACGGAUGACGGACACACGCUAAAAAGCCACCCGCAACUGCCGAUCUUUGCAAAGGUGGAUAAUUGCUCACCUGCGCCAGCAACAGGUGAAUAGUUCGCGAGUGGCUACUUGCAGAUUGAGACCCCCGAACCCAAUCCCACCAAACGGCACAAAAUCACAUUCGGAUUCCCGAAUCGACCCCUGCACCGACGGCAAUUCAAUCUUUUUCUUCCCCCCUCCGUAUUGAACCCCAUGCGCCCCCAUCUGCCAAUCCAGUUAUCUUGGCACCACCCCAUGAAUUGCGCACGGCGAUUUAUGUCGUACGUACGAACCAUGCAGUACAUGCUCAGGACGGGUAACUAUUGUCAUGCCGACGCCAAGUUAUCCCUGCUUGCAGGAGAUAUGUAUAUCGGAGUAGGCUGGAAAUCCAAGGCUGGAAAUCCAAUGAAACGCCCGACCACGUGCCGUACAACAAUUCCAAUUCACAAUGGUGUAAGCGUGCGACAGAAGGUCGCUGUGAAUGUCGCAUGUGCGUUUAUCCUCUUCGUAUGGUCCAUGUGUGAGCCGUAUCGGUGAUUAUGUCAGGUAGGGGACCAAGUAAAAACUACUCCUGCACACCUCUGUUAUCGGGUUUCGACCCCGCACACCCCGAGCCGCCGCCCAGCCCAGCCAGAUACGACACAGCGCUUCCUGCCAUGAAUGAGCCGGUAUAGCCGAAAGCCCAACCGUGCAUAUGUAGGCAGCCUACACCUAAGCACGAACCUGAGCACACCUGCAAGUCGUCCGGCGUGUGUGGAAACACCACACAUCACUUGCAAAACACAUCACUUGCACUUACCGCUUUGCGGGCCCCAUCCCUGCAUGCUUUAUUACUCCUCCAUUGCUAUCAUCAGCGCCCUACCUCCAGUCUAUCUACACAAUGCCCUCUUCUUAUUCUUCCGUGUAGAGGCAUUUGGUUCGGUGUUAUCCAUGCAUGUGAUGUGCAUGUGAAAGUUAAUGAAUAUGCACUGAUAACCCGCCAGGGUCCCCCCUAGCUACCUAAUCCACCAGGGCCCAGGGCCGCGUUACCUGCUACCCCCCCUGCUACCCCCUGCUACCCCCCCUGCUACCCUCUGCUACCCCCCCUGCUACCCCCCCCGCACCCCUGCAUUCAAUAAUCAGCUAGUCACCGGGAAGGUGGCUGAAUCCGCCGGGCAGCACGACGCGCUGUAGUACAGGUGUACGAUACACGUAUCACCCAUGCAGAAGUCCCGGAGCAGUUUUGGUUCGAUGUCCAAACACACGCGAGCUCGUCCCACAGCUGACUGGCUCCGGACCUGGUCCACCGUCCACCUCGAUGGGAAGUCCUUGGGGUCCAUCAACUGUUCCAGGACAGCCAGCGUGUCGGGCACGGUGGUGCUGACGUUGCUGCUGCUGCUGCUGUUGUUUGUACUGCUGCUGCCUGGCAGGGUGUUCCAUAGCUUCCAUAUUGAGCUUGAAUUCGCCUGUAUGUCCCCCAGCGCUGUACGGAAGAUUAUGCUUUUGAGGGCUGAUUUCGCGGUGUCACUGGCCCGGAAUAUGAGGCCGGUCAGUCGGGUGGCGUUGCAGGCCUGAGGGGAGGGGAAGUGAGAGGGGAGGGGAGGGGAAGUGAGAGGGGAGGGGAGGGGGGGGCUGACACGGGGAUUCGACUGAGCCCAAGGAGAACACAAAGUGACGCAGCAUAUGUGCGGGAGCCGAACAUAGGAACUCAUUGGGAUCAGGGCCCGCAGCGGUCACGUUCGCAAACCUCCUCCCGCUUCGUUCGCUAAGCCAGCAGUGCACCCGUCAUUGCCAUAGCGUCAGCACUGCAGCCGCAAAAUAUAUCAAGUGCCGAACAUUUUGGUCGAUGGUCGGAUAUACGGCAUUCCAGCUGGCUCGGCGAGGUGCCGUACUCACAUUGGGCGGGGUUGUGCUGCUGUCUGAUGCCACCUCCAGCGCGAAGCAGGGAAUAGAUCGCCCCAGGGCUACUCCCUGAAUGGAGAUGUUGGACUCAAUCUGCAUUCGAACGACGGUGGUGGAUGGGGAAGGGGGAGAGUCGGGAAAGGAGUGACCCUCCGGGACGGCGUGUCUUAUCCAGACAACAAAACAUGUACCACUGGCCCCGCGUCUGCAGGGAUCCACCCCCACCUUGGAUCCUUCCUGACCCCCCCGCCCCCCCGCCCCCCCAACCCCCCCACCUGCACUUCCCGACGCAGCCUCAGUGGUCCAACAGACGACGCGUUGGAGCCGUACACGCACGGCAGGGGGACCAGAGGCCGGGGAGGGGGCGACAUCAACGAUGGCGGCGGCUGGGAGUUUCGUGACGGCGGUGGUGCCGGCGGUAUCAAACAGCUGCUGAAAGUCAAUGCCGUAACUGGCUGAGAGCUAAUCAACGGAUAACUGCCGUACCAUAGAAUGUUUUUACGUGACGCCAGUGGGGCGCCGCUGUCGUUGCAGAGCUUCUUGACAAUACUUGGUAGGACAAUUCCCAGCAUCUCGCUCAAGUCCGCAAAGUUGCUGGUUGUGUUGACGCUCGUGCAAAAGAUGAUAUCCGUAGAGGUGCAGACCUGUUGGGACCAGUCCAACUUCAGGUUGUUGCUGUUGGCGGCAUCCUUGAUUUUGUACAUCAGCUGCAGCUGGAAGGAGACUCUGGCCUCCUGUGGGCACGAGCUCCCGCUGGGGUUCCCCAUCUGCAGGCCCACACACAAGGACGGUAUUGGUGGUGGCGGAGAGGAGGGGCUGCGGGGCAUUGCCAUCGUAGCCGAAGCCGCGGCCACCCCCCCUUUCGCCGCCAUAAUAACCGUCGUACCCGCGGCCGCAGUCGACGCCGCCGCCAACCCGAGUGUGGUCGCCGUCUGACUCGAUUCCGCUGAUGUAGCCGCCGCCGCCGCCGUCGCCGUCGCCGUCAUGACUGUUGUUGCCGCCGCCGCCACUACACACUGCCGCUGCACUUCCUUAAAACCGAUGCAAGAUGAGUCGCUGCCAUCGCUGCCCCCAGAUACAGGUUGCCCGUAUGCCCUCAACGUGUAUCCUGCCAGCUGGCCCCCGCGUGACUCGCAGGCUGACGACCCCGAGGCCUCAGAGGUUGAGAGCACCCGGGCUGGAAGGCCCAUCAGCAACUCCUGGAGGAAAUCACCUAGCCGGAAGCUCCACACCGCCACCGCUCGAGAAUCAACCCCUUCCGGAUUGUUGUAUGAACCGCACACACGCAAGGAAGACGCAUCACAGCUCUCCAAGCGAAACUGCUGUCGCAGCGUAAUACCUGGGGCAGAGGCGUUGGCGUUGCCAUUAUCCAAACUGCCGUGGCUGUAGCCGUCGUCAUCAUAGUAGUUGUAAUUGUAAUAGUCAGUGCGCGAUGGAAUGCCAUUCAGGAAAGUGGCGAUCCGGCUCGCCAGGUCAUCGCAACUCUGACGACUCAGGGAGGGCGGGUCUGGCCGCAAUGCGCUACGGCCGCGCAGCAGCAGCUGCCCCAGUGGCGGAGGCGACGGCGACGGCGGCGGCGGCGGUAUCACCUCCACAUGGAUGCACACCGAGCACGGCGUAGAAGAGGAACCAGCGGGUGCUGGCGACGAGGCGGUUGACAUGGAAGAUGGCAGAAGUGGCAAAGGUGAGGGCGACAAUUUUGCCGACAACAACCGCCGCGGUGCGCCCGGCAAAAUGUUUGCCCCUAGCACAGCCAUCCGCCGCUGCUGCUGCUGCGGCGGCGGUGGCGGCGGCGGCGGCUGUAGCACAAGCUUUCGCUGCUGAGGCUGUGUCCUCUGCCUUGCCAAAAAGCGAGACGGCAGAAGCAUGCAGAAACGCCAGGACGACGGCGAUGUGGAUCGCUUCGACAGCGAGCUGUCGUGACCGGGAAGGAUACCGACGGGCCUCCUCGCUGCCACGGAAACGGCAGCUGUAGCAGAGCGCAGACCGGCACGGAGGUAGUAGGUACCGGCAGUAGUUAUAGCUGCAACGACGUGGCGGGGAGCUCCUCUGUAUGCUGAGAAUUUCAGGUGCCGCCCGUUGGAGGGGAGGGCGGAGUGGGACGGUGUCUGUGGAAAUGAUUGCGCGGGUAAGGGGAUCGGGAGAGAAAGGGAAAGCGGUAGUAGCGGUGGCGUUGGUGGGGUGGUUCUGGAUCGCGCUGGAGUCGGCACAGCUGCGAUCACUAAGGAGCACCAGGAGCCAGACUCGUUAGAGAGGCGCGCGGUGCAUAAGGCCCCUAGCGCCUGCUGCUGGUGCUGAUUUCGCUGGUGGCGAAGCUGCGACGAGGGCGGUUCACACCAGCCCUCGGGCGUAUCGCUGCAAGUGCCGCGGGUUUGCACCGCGAGACACACACGCGACCCAGUUGCAUUUGAGGACUUCAGGUUUAGACCCGACAGCAGCAGCUGCCCGCGGUGGGAGUCGGCCGGGCCAUUGCGAUACGACACUGGCACCGCGAUGGACCCCGGCCGACCAGGUACAUACAGCACCGCCGCCAACCUGCUCCUUGAAUUAAAACAUUCUGAUCCUGCAAGUUUAAUUAUGUAAGUAGGUACGUUGCGAUAUAGUUGACAGUGUGGAUUAGCAGCCAAGUAAAGGAAUGUUGCGCGACGCUUUUUGUAAUGUGCUCGGCGCUCGUGUACGCCCCAAACGAACCAACGCCAGUGGCACCAAAUUGGAGUGAGUGAGCUGUAGACAAGUUGGGUGUCGGCUUCAAGGAAGCCGGAAAAAGGGCGGGGCCCCUCUGCAUCCGUACAGGCCGGUAGCAAGGGUGGCAAGGGUGACAAUUGAUGGGUAGUGUCAACGCGGUGGGAGAUAUGCUUUGUUGCAGCAGUGCUGAUGGUGUGAGAGCUAAGCUUGCACUGGCGGAAUCGUCAGCACCGCCUGCGGGCUCCACGCGAACCGCAUCCAUUCCGGGUGCAUGCCGCAUGGACAGUGCGGCAGACCGCAAGUCGGAAUGCCCGUGCGGGCAAUGGUUACGAAAGCUGGGGUGAUUUCGGUGCUGUCUGUGAUGUUUAUCCCCCGAACGCCAGCGGCCUCAGCAAUCUGCCCCACAGCCGCGGGGUUCAUCGGGGCACACCGCAAGUCUCAGGAGGGCCCCGUGCAUUGGCCAAAGUAAAUGUACAAACAAGGAGCUUGUGUAUUUCAUAGAGAAAUGAAAGCAAAUUAUGUUGGCCUGCUGGUGGCAAGUCGGAUUGCCCAUGCCGGCAAAUGGUAACACAAGCUGGGUGUUCGAGUUAUCAUACGCCGUCAUCUCAGAAUUCCAUUGUGAGAUACGCGGCAGCUUUUGGGAUGAAAUUUAGCGCGAGAGGCGUUGAUGUGGCUUUUGAGGUCGGUGAAUGGAGGCAGCUAAACUUGUUUGUGCUCAUACGGUCUUUGUUAGCUACAUGCGAGAUACCUUGCAAUAGAGAAUGCUGUAUAGUACCGAUAACGCGUUUCAGCCGGGUGAAAUAUUCUGUUUGGUCCGUUACACACUCAAGGCCUGGGAGUUCGAGUUAUCAUACGCCGUCAUCUAAGAAUUCAAAUAUGAGAUACGCGGUACCUUUUGAGAUGAAAUUUAGCGCGAGAGGCGUUGAUGUGACUUUGGCCUCGGUCAAUUGAGGCAGCCAAACUUGUUUGUGCUCAUACGAUUUUUGUUGGCUACAUGCGAGAUACCUUGCAAUAGAGAAUGCUGUAUAGUACCUAUAACGCGUUUCAGCCGGGCGAGAUAUUAUGUUUGGUCCGUUACACACACACACACACACACACACACACACACACACACACACACACACGGACAUGGGCAAUCCUACAGGUCGGGGCCCCCCUGGGCGCUUCGCGCUGGGGCCCCGCCCAAAAAGGUUUUUACUUACGUACUGAAAUCGAUAUGCUCGAAAGCGUGGCAGACUGGCAUUGUAUGCCCGCACAGCGAUUUGAGUCGGCGAAGACGAGGAGACAAAAGUUAUCCGCGCGUUGCUGGUCCGAGUAAAACCCAAGCCGAUACAUUCCUGAUUGGCAUUUCAGUCCGCUUGAAGAAGCUGUCGACGAACUGCAGAAAACAAUGCGGCCAGAGGGCUUGCCAAUUCUGGCGCGAACAUUGGACAGGAUGAUUCCCCGUACCUAUGAUGACAGUGCAGACAACUUACAAUAUCGUGGCUAAUGCUACUAACAAGUAUUGAGCCUUGGCUGCCGCUCGGGCUCCAAGUCCGUGACAAGUGAGUCUAGGCAUGAGUUAUACUCUUUCCCGUUUCACAGCGAUAAAACAUUCGUUCAAUAUUCAAUUUAUAGCUGUUAAUGAACAAGAGGUUUGCAGCGCUUCUAGGAGGCAAAACCAUAGCGUCUGUUGAAGCGGUGUAUUACGUACGGAUUCAAAUUGCCUUAGACUGUAUGGGCCAAAGAGAUGGAAUCCAUCUACUUGGCAGAUCAAAAGUACUUCCAUAUGGACUGUGGCCAAAUGUGGGCAAGCAAGAGUUCUAUUGGGGACUCAGCCGCGGGAGUACGGUUACAUGCUAAUGGCACCGUCCGCCGCGCAGGAGGCAGGAGAGCGCACGUGGAUUAAGUCUGCUUCAUAACUUCACAAACUUCAGAGCACAAACUAUGUCUCAUUUGUUGACUUUAAAAUUUGGGCAAAAAUGGCAUCGAUUUCCUUCAGCUAGGCAACUUAAUGCAGCUUAAUGGUUGGCGGUUGGCGGGGACAGCUUUUGAUUUGACCCAAAACAGACUGGAGACGUCCUAAACAAAUGCCACAAAACCCAUUUGACAUCUAAUUAGGCUAUUAUCAACCCUAAACAUAGCUGAUAUGAAAACCUACCUCCUUUACCUACCUCCGUACCCUUGCACAUAUGCGCCAAUGGGUUCAAUCUUUAUGCGUCUCCUUUGCCAUAAACAACAUUAUCACAUCGCAUAUCUGGCGAUUCUAUAGUUUCCUCUGAGCACCAACACGUCGAAGUUUGGAAUGCCGGGCGCAGGCUUUCCUUAAGCUGCACUUAUCAUUACCCAUGUUAUUGUAGAUUUUACAUUUCACAUAAAUUAAGCUCUCAGUUAUGCAGUGCUUCUAGGCGGCAGGGAGGGACAGGGUCUGGUUGAGCAGGAUUUGAAUGCUUUUGUAGGAUUGAGUCGGACACUGAAGUGCGACGGCAAAAGAAGCUUAACACGCAAAACAAGUCGUACCGAGCUUUGAAAAUCACGUUAUCAACUGCUUCACAGAGGGUAUCGGAGAACUCGUCCGGGUGGGAAGAAGCGAACGGGACUGGUGGGUCUUGGUAGGUAGUUGCGCACACGUCCGCACACCAUCACCGCCGUCAGCUGGUACGUCAAGGCUCUCUAGGACGUCACACUCGGCUUAACCGCAGUAUAUCUUCACGGACGAUUCAAUCGCUUUUCCGGACCAGUCUUUCCUAAGGGCUAUGUUGUGCCCACAAUCCAUCCGUGUGACAUUUUCCUGUCCGCGACAGGUAUACGUCCCGGAAACCACAAGCCCGUGACAUGCAUGCAACUCCUGUCGAAUUGCACAUAUGUGUGCUUGAAUUGGCUUGUUGGCUGCAGCACGAUUGCGCAGUAGACCGAGGAGGGCUGGCUGGCAGGUGGAUGGAGGAGACCACAGGGCGCGACCACAAGCAGCCGACCAGCAUACGACCGCCUACCCGUGGGUAGCUGGAACUGCCCUCUACCUGCAGCCGCCCGUUUCCGGGUGCCAGGUUCGCACUCACUAUUGCUGUGGCCCCUCCUGCUUUGACACGCCGGAGUAGACCGCCGGUGGCCGGUUUGGCCUCGGCCCACUGCUGGGUGGAGGCGUAGGCUUGUCACCAGGUGCGGCAUGAGCUCGUGAGUGUGCGUGCCUUUUAAGACGAGGCUGCAAAAGGGAAGAAGGAAGGAAAGCAAGGGAAUGGUGAAGGUGGUGGACGACUGCAUGAGGUCAAAAAGCUGUGGGGGGCCCAACCGCCGUAACGAAAUUAACAAGAACUUAGCGAGGGUGGGAGGGUGGGAGGUCCUUCUUCAUAAUCUUCAAGUAGAAAGUAAGGAUAUUAAUAGAAUGACCUGCAAUCAUUUGCCAUUUCUCUGUCACUUUGAACUACAUGAAAAUCAAGGCCAGUUUAAUGUGGGAGGGUGGGAGGGAGGAAGGAAGGAAGGUAAGGGGAAGAAACGUUUUGGGACAGGGACGCAAGGAAUAGCGGGGAGAUGGGGUCCCGACUGCAAAAGCCCAGACACAACACCACUGUCAAUCAAAACCGUCGGAUUUGGACACACCAUCACCAUCACAUCCACCACUUGGAAGCAUGCAUAUUGUCGAAAGGUGGCCUGAGAAAAGUCGCACCGAUCACGUUAGGCUCAAAAACAGCCAUGCAGUAGUCAGUACCUUUACACAGAAUCCAUAAAUGUGCCGUACCCUGCGGAAUCCGUACUCUGCCUGAUGUCGUAGAUGUCCACAGGCUCUGACAGCAUCCAUCGGCGCCAUGAGAGCGGACCCCUGACGUACCCCGCUUGCUGUAAUGGUAUCUCCCCUUGGCGGCUCCAGGGUUCAGAUUUAGACAAUCGGAGAGCCGCUCCAAGAAGAGUAGACGUAGUUGUAGUUGAAGUGGAGUAAUCCUUACGUGAUUGAGAUGUCGUGGUAAGGUCAGCCGCAGGCUGCCAUGAAUGAGACGCAGUCCUGCUCCGCUGUCGAGCGGAAUGGUUAUCAAAACCGUUCGACCGUCAAUCAGUGACGGGCCGAAGUCCCUUCGUCAAUCACGACCGUUGAACCCUAGCCUGCCUAGCCAUUUUGAAUGAAUCCUUCUCGGACGUGACACUUCGCAUGUCACUCAUGCGUUACCACAACACUUGCCUGCCUGCUUGCUUGCUUCGCCGGCUAUAGGGGCUGUGCCGACUUACAUGCCCACCAGGCGAAUGACGGGGAAACCGAAACACUCAACCCAUCGUGCAACCCACCCGCCGGAUGCUGCACACAUCCAAACAUGAGGAAGGCACAUAAGAGGGGGGAGGCACGCGCAUGCGUGUGCUCUCGUGCCAUGUCCGGGCGGGGUCACCUCAAUCUGUGUCCGUUCGUCUUUCUCUUCCCACGUCCUCCCCGUACGCCCGUUAUGAAUACAUAAAAGGAAUUAGCAAAAGGAAUUUCGUCAUAGCUUUUAUGAAAAUAAUCAGAACGGUAUCGUUAGUACGGUAAGCAAUGAACAAAAAUAUAUUGUAAAACUGCUGCCGGGUAAUCCACAGCCAUGUCAAGAACUGCUUUUUCUACCGCGGGCGGCCAUUCAGCCUAGCUAGUGCAGAUGAGAUCUGCCGAGUAGAGGGGAGUCGAGGGGGGACAGAGGGCUGCAUGGCGAUCGAGUGAACGAUGGUGUGUCCUGAUAAGGCCCUCUCCUCCGAGGGACUCCAGGGAGAUCUCAUACCAGAAGAUGCAAGAGCGCAGCUGCACGACGUGAUUGGGUGUUGCGGAGGGACUGGUUACUGAUGGUGAAGCGCGUGGAAAAAGGUGAGGACGCCAAGAAUGGGGGCUACUUAUCUGUCGACUGGGUCUUCAAUGGCCACCACGGACAGGCAGGGUUUGACAAAUGGAGUUUGCUUUAGGAAAGGGCCAGGCCCAGGGCCCAUUCGAAGUCAAGGCAAAUGCACGUCAGCAAGAAUGUUUUUCGAGCUUUGUGCGGCUACAAGCCUAAAGCUUCAAGCAGCUAUCAGCGGACGGGCCUAUUCAGGUCCUUCGAAGCUGGAUCCAUCGCUUUGACCCAUGGGCCCUGAAUAACUGAAACCCAUGCGCCGUACAAACAGAAAGCCCAGAUGCGUUUUGUCAGCAGGAGACGACUUACCUCGUUUCAUGGCAAUCGUAUCUUUCCAUGGGUUUUACAAUCGCUCUUAAAUCUUAGUAGUUACAGCUCGUCACGUUGACCACCUUAGCUUGGAACCUUGGCAUUUUAUGAGGAUUCCAUGAAUUUAGGGUAACCGCCUGAUCCAAUGCUGGGCGUUACGUUUACAAGCAGGGCGGUGCUUGACGACGGCGAGGCGCGAAGGAAGAAAGACAAGAAGGUGUGUUGCCGACUGCCCCGCGCUAUCUUAUUCUAAAGGGAUUUAAAGAACUACUAGGGCAUGAUUAUGAUGUUGUUCAGGAAAAGAAAAAGAAGAAGGAAAAGCGGAGUAAGAAAGAGAAACGCGAAAAGAGGGCAGCAAGUAAGUUAUUGACCAAUUUUCGUUGCGGUGCUUGGAAUUCUUGCCAUGACUGUUGUCUUUUAAUUCAGGCAACAGCUCUGGCGAAAGCGGUUCCGACGAUGACCAAGGUAACCGUGGACGCAACCCGGGCGAUUCGACAGAUGAAGGCCAGGACGCAGCAGCAAACGUUGGAAGCAAAACGGCGGCGCAAGGUGUGUGCCUGAUGGGGCUAGCGGACCAAAGGAGCUCGGGUGGGGGGUUUAACCGGCGGCGAAUGGGCAUCUGCCCUAGCCACUUCCCUGCUGUGGUCUUCUGCGGUGGUGGUAAUUGGCUCACUGUCAAUCAUCAUGACCAAUUUAGCUGCGCCACCAGCCUCUUUUCAGUGUGGUCGUGGCCGUGGUCAAGACGCCGGUGUUGGCCAUAUCCUUCCCCUCUUCGUCGCCCUUCCUGUGUCAACCAGCCGUCUUCCGGUAGCCCCCCCCCCCCGUCCACCAUUCCCAUAGUCAGUUCCAACAAGUGUUUGGUACCGCGUUGCAAUGGCCAUAAAUGCACAACCGACAAGCAGACACCUAAUUGUCGAGCCGAGCCAAACCUCUCCCUUCCUUCCCACUCCAUUGCCUCUGGAUCCAACUCCGCGGUCCCCCUCCGGACAUACAUCCCCCCAACCCCAGCUCCGCCAGCCGAAGGCCCUCCACCCCUACAGCGGGAGGACUGGAUGACCAAGCCCAUGAAGCGCGAGCCCACCAAAGCUGAACAACAGCAUCAGGAGGAGGAGGCGGAGGAGGAGGAGCGGCGGAAGCAGGUGUCCCGUGUGGGGGUGAAACGUGACGCAGCCGUGGGGGGGGCCGGAGGAUGGACAUGACAGGGCCUCAAGAGUUGCCUGCACGCUAAGGCCUGCGCACUAAGGGGAGUGGUUUAGGGGCGUGGUGGGGGGCGCCUGAGGAAGGCCACGGCUGGGGCUGUGCGGUGCGGACCGGGAGUGUAAGCGCGUCCAUGGAGGCUGUCGUCUAUUACUGAAAUGCGGUUACUGACUGCUAGCUACUGCUGCUACUGCUGCUGCUGCUGCUGCCCGUGACAGCGGUGACAGCGGGGGGAGACGUGAGGGGCCCGGAGGAUAAGGAGGGUUUAAACCCGGAAAUGCAUACACAUGCACUCGCACCUGAGAAAUUGGGACAGAGGGCGGCACAUGGACGGCAAUACAUCGGGGGCGAUAUCGGGCAGACGGGGGAUUGUCUCGGAUUGAGAAGAGAAGAGCAGGGUUGAGAGAAGGGAGGCAUGGAACUGGGGCGCGACUCGGGGUUGAGGGUGGAAUGUCGAGCCCUCGGAUUGCCGUCGCAAUCGGCAUGCAGCUGCCUGCGUGUCGUCCUCUCACACCUUGCCCGGUCGGGUUCGAAUCCAGGCAGCACCGGCCGGGUCCGAAGUCGUGGCGGGCUUGAGGAUUAUGAAGACGACUGACUCAGCGGCGCCGGAGGCAGCAGCCGCGGCCGCGGGGAUGGCUACAGCUCCAGCAAGCGGUGGUGGUGGUGGCGGCGGCGGCGGCGGGCUUGUUGGCGACGGCGGAGCCAGUUGGCGGUUGAAGGCGCUUCGUAGGGCGCAGGAGCAAGCCCGGGCUGAGGGUCGCAGCUUACAGGAGGUGGGGGUGCUUGGAGGGCAGGGGGGGCCCCUUCACGGGUGAGGGGAGUGGCGUGCUAAAGGGGGUGCGGGGAAGGGAACGCGCAAACCCGGGUGAGGGGCGGGAAAGGAGCGUACGGGGAUGGACCGACGAAGUGCGGACACUCAUGUCGCAGGAGUUAUGUUCCAUGUGGAGGGGAGGGCUGGGGGGGUCCGCAUCGGGGGCGGAGGGAGAGGAGAGAAAUGUGGACACGAAAAAGAGGGUGACCCUCAGGGGGGCAAAGCUGCACCUACCAGCAGUCUGACUGGGUCCAGGGACCUUUCCUGCCGCAUGACCUUUUCCUUGCACACGCCUGGCCUGGGACACAUGCAUGUGUGUGUGCGUGUGUGUGUGUGUGUGUGCAGCUCGCUGUCAGGUUCUUCACUCCAGGCCACAUCCCCCGGGUCCCCGCUCCCACGUAUAAGGGAAAACCUACCACGACAGCCCCCUUACCCCCCCCCCCCGCCCUGGCAGCACAUUCACUCGUUCGUGGUUCGUCUUUCCCCCCCCUGACGUCCUCCCCCACGUUCCCUCCCCACGUCUUAGGCACUACGGGGCUGCAUGCACAUGCCCCUAGUGCGCGCAGGUUGGCGGGAGCCACGGGUGGCCCCGGCCCGCGCACUUGCGCUUCUCUUCCUACCAACUCCCUCUCCUCCCUUGGGCCUUUCUUUUGCGUUGGAAAGAACGUUCGCGUUUGCGUUCUUUCCAACCCACUUCUCCAUUUCUACCUUCUUUGCGUUGUGCCGGCGUACACGUCGUCCAAUGCGUCAUCCCGUCCAAUGCGUCAUUCCGUCAUCCCGUACGACACCUUCUGUGUCGUCCUGCGCCGCCUUUGCAAUUGUUUUUUAGUUCCUGCGUUUUUCUUCCGUUUUCAUAUAGGUCCAGCUUCCCCGGUCAGCCAGUUUAAUACUCCCUUUCAGCAGCAUUUGCAUGCGUUUUUGUAUUUAUCGUUCGCUGCUCACAACUCUCCCACCUCUCUGCCUCGCAUGUGUCUUUGCCCGCUGCUUCUGCUGCCUGGCCAGGUGAGUCCAAAGGGUGGUUAGAGCUUCUUCGGUAUAUCGCGUUGGCGUCGGUCGGCUAGCCGGACUAGGAUAGUCGGGUCGGUCGGGUCGGUCGCGCGUUUUAGUUUGGGGGGUUGGGAGGAGCACUUGCAUACCGACAGCCUUUCAGUACCAGCAAAUCAGCUAAUUCUCCAGGCCAGCAACUUUAUGCCAGCUUUACGACAGCACUGCUUUACUACUUUUCCGCCGCCUUCACACCACCUACUUUUCUACACCUACUUCUUUACGGCAUGGCAAUACUAUUUCUGCUGCUUUUUUAGUCCUGGCGGCUUAGGUAGGUAGUCUUUCCGACAUCUUCUUCACUUCGUCAUCCCGAGCUCGCGGUCUUCACGGACGCCUUUCGGUCAGUUCUACGUUUGAUACUCUCUUGCCCUGGCAGCAGCUUCACUCGUGUGUGGUUCGUCUUUCCCCCCCCGGGCCCGCAGGUGGUGGGUGAGCGGUGGGGCUCCCUGGCGCAACUCACCGGGGCGCUCACCAGCAGUGCGGCGGCGGAUGGUGGGUGGGGAAGGGGGGGGCAGCAGCAGCAGCUGGGGAGGGAAGAGGGCAGUGGUGGCAUAGCGAUGGGGUGGUAGUGGCAUAGCGAUGGGUGGGGGAAGUGUGGUAAGGAGAUAUGGGGUGGUCAUUUGGAGGGGGAGAGGUUUGGGAGAGGGCAGAUCACAGCACGCACUUCAGACCGGCUAAUGCUGCUGCUAUUGCCACCUGCUGCUGCUGGUGAUGAUGGUGGUCAGGAUCAGGAACUGGGUCAUUGGGGGCGGGCACAGGAUCUCCAGCACCAGCACCUGACCCUCGCAUGGUCUUGUACAGCGGACUUGCACUGCCGUAUCAUCCUGUUUCUCAUGUGCUCUCCACACCCGCCCUCCGUGCGCCGGUGCACGGCUGGUUGUUGUUGUCUGUUGCCCGAACAGGCAAGGCGCAUCUGCGGCCAGCGGCGGAGCGCAGACGCGCGGCGGCGGCGGCGGGGGGGGAGGGCGCCCAGCCCGUGGUGCCGCACUACCUGCAGGUGAGUACGAACGGUUCCGGUCGUACGUACUCCCGUAUCUGAAUGUCGCGGCCAGACAGUGGCCAGGCAUUAAAUACUCUCGUACACUUUCGCAACCAUUGGGUUGUUAAGGGAGGGAAGGUGGACCCGGUGUGUGUCAUGAAGACUCCAACAAAGGACACAGCUCCCUGAGGAGAGAGCCCUCCCUGGUCUAGUCCUUCCCCUUGGCCCGGACCCGCCUCGCUGGGGUCCUGAUUAGGCACUGGUACCUGGCCACCACGUCCACCGGUGCUGCUGGGCAGUGUCAGUUGCCACUCCCCACAGGAUCAAAUACUACUGUUACUGCUACUGCCCCACUACUACUACCCCACUAUUGCUACUGUCCCACUACUGCUACUGCCCCACUACUGCUACUGCCCCAUUACUACUGUCCCACUACUACUGCCCCACUACUACUACUGCGCCACUGCUACUGCCCCACUGCUACUGCCCCACUGCUACUGCCCCACGACUACUGUCCCACUGCUACUGCCCCACGACUACUGCCCCACUGCUACUGCGUCAGGACGUGCGGGGCGAUGGUGCCAGGACCAAGAUGUUGCGGCCCUCCGAGGACACCGGCUCCCUCAGCUGGAGGCGGGAUAGGGCCAGGGACAGGGACACAGAGCGACCGGGGGCGGGGGCGGGGGAGGGGGACAGGAACCUCUCGGACAAGGGACAACGGGAACGGGACCUCGAGCGGCACGAGGACAGCGACAAAAAAGACGAGCGGGGGAGGGGGAGAGGAGAGCGGGAACCAUCAGCAGGAGCAACAGGAGGAGAAGGAGCAGGAGGAGGGGGGCCCGACCGGGGGGCCCAACGGCAAGGGAGCCGCGAGGGGCGGAUGGACGACCCGGGGGGGUCCGGUUGCCGCCAUGACGGCCGUUACGGCGACCGAGGGUUUCAUAACCCUAGGGUUUCGGAGCGACGGCCCGGGGUCGGAAGUGAUCACCCGGAGGACGUGAAGGCGCCCUGGCGGGAGCGAGAUCGGGAUUGGGACUACUCGGAUCGCGAGCGAGGACGGGCGCGGGAGCGGGAGCGGGCGCGAGAGCGGUCCGGGGGACCUGAUGGCGCGGCCCGAGGUGGAGGUGGUGGACCUCCACGGGGGGCCGCGAGCCGCCCCUCCAAGGAGCAGGCAGCUGCACUACAGCAGGUAAAGCAGGAGAGUGCCGUACUCCGUACAACUGUGUUUUGCCGGGCUUCGCGGAGCCCCACUGAUCUCCCCAACCCCUUUUGAGACCCCCUUGCGGUGGCCCCUCCCUCCCAAACGCCUCCAUUCUGUCCCCCCCCCCUUUACACGCACACACCGACAGCUGGCUGGGUCCCUCAACUCCUUCACCAAUGACGGCUCCUUCCUGGAGCGGUUUAUGUCCGUACAUCAAUUGAGGGGCAAAGAGGAGGGAAAGCAGGUACGUGGGGGAGAGUGUGUAUGUGUGUGUGUUUCGUAACGGCCACCCGACACGACCGGUACUGUCCGGCACUAGGGGCCAAGUGUUCAUGGCCACAAUAGGCAGCAAGCGGAGGUAGGGCCCCUAAAGCCGUGUUUGUAUGUGUGUAUGUAUGUGCUCGUGUGCCUAUGGAUGUGUCUAUGCAUGUAUGCGUGCAAUUGUGCUGGCGCGCGCGGAAAUGCGGUCUGUCUGUCUGUCUGUCUGCAUAUCUACCUGCUGGGCCGGUGGUCGCCCUUCCACCUAAAACCCGCAACCCCCCAAACCCCAAACCCCAUACCCGGCAGGGGGUGGAGGAUGCGGGCCCGGGUCCCGGCCCCACCAGCAGCCCUGAGGAAUGGAGGGGGGCAGCUGUAGCUGCACCAGCUGUGGCAGCGGCCCCGGGGGAAAGAGGAGGGGGAGGAGGGGGCGGUGUUGGUAACCGGGGGGUUGCGGCGGUGCCCCCUGCGGGUGGUGGUGCGGAUGCGGGGGCGGGGGCUGGAGGGCAUGGCCGCGGCGGGGGGCGGGAGCCGGGAGCUGUCUCCAACCGCCGGCUGCAUGAGGACGAGGGUGACGAAGAUGAGGAUGAGGAUGGAGGUGACCGGGGGCCUCCGACUGCAGCUGCAUCCAGGUACGGGGUAGUGGGGGGUCGGGGUGGGGUGGGGUGGGGUGGGAGGGGGUUGAGGAGUAAUCAGCCGCCUCGUGGCUCGUUAGUCCCGGCCAGCCUGGCCCCAGGCCGGGCCGCACUCACCUCCCGACAUGCACGCAACAACGUGUUACCACCACCACCACCACCACCACGAGCACCUAAUCCUUCAGGUUUCUUAUUGCCCAAUAAGGGUGGAGGGGCUUUCGGUGGGGAUGGAUGGCACCGUGUGGUGCUGCACUGCUGCUGCCGCUGUUGUUGUUGUGAGGGGCGACACAGUACCAGGAGUGGGCGACCCGCCCCACCUCACAACAGACUCUCAACACGACUACCCACCCACACACCAUAGCUUUCGCCUUCCCCCCUCCCUUGCAAACACACACACAUGCGUACAUACAUACACACAUACACACACUGUGCAGGCGGGCGCCGCUAUUCGUGGGUAGCGGAGACCCCCCCGAACCCCCCGGUGGGGUUACGGGGGGUGGGGGCAACAAGUCAGCUGCUGAGCUGCUACGCGCCCGACUCAAGGGGCUCCCAGCGCCCUCCCCCCCACCAGCUGCCCCCUCUCCCGCAGUGAAGCCGGAUCCGGAUGGCGGAGAAGGUGGGCUGGACCAGGGUGGGGUGGGGGGAUAAGGACUUUUGUUCCCCCCCUCUCUCUCCCCCCUCUCCCCCGGACUUGUCUCCAGGCGGCGCCGGGUUCUCACACCGCAACACCAGUUCCACAUACAGGCUCUGCUUCACUGCCUGUACGUAUGUAUGUAUGUAUAUGAAUGUAUGUAUGUGUGUGUCUUGCCCCACCCAGACCAACCCCACCUAUCAUCUCCCUGCCCGCACCUCCCAUAGCUCCGAGCCGUCACGGUGGCGCUGGUCUCGGAGCUGGUCUCGGCAGUAGUGUUGGCGGUCGGGGGGUGGAGGUAGUUCAGUUGCCGCUGGUGGACUCCCGGGGCCGGGCGGUGCGGGGGGCGUUUGGGCGGGAGGCGGCGGGGGCGGGGGCGGGGGCGGGGGGGGAGGGGGCAAGUCGUCGUGGUGGCGGCGGGAAGCCCCCUGAGCGCUACAAUCGACAGACGGGGGAGAAGGAGCGCUACUUUGCGGAUGAUGACAAGGUGUGGGGGGUGGGGGUGGGGGGAAUUGUUGGAGGCGUGAAGAGCGAGGGUGGAAAAAGAGGGGGAAGGGGCUGGAGGGGGCCCCCUCCCCACCAACAAAGGGGGGGUCGGGACUGCGGGGCGGGCAAGGUGGUGUCGUGGUGGUGGUGGUGGUGGUGGGGAGGGUGAUGCUGGGCCUUGGCUCGCAGACAGACAGACGGACAGAUAAAACCCUAAAUCCCCGGAAUUCAACCUCGGGGCGGGAGGAGGCGGGGUUACAGGGGGCAAUGGCGAUGUUCGCCUGGCUGGCUGGCUGGCUGCCUGGUGGUUACGCGGCUGGGGGAUCUGUCGGCCAUUCAUGACGUGUNNNNNNNNNNNNNNNNNNNNNNNNNNNNNNNNNNNNNNNNNNNNNNNNNNUAUGACUCCCCCCUCCCAUCUCCCGACAGGUCGACCUGCAGACCAUGCUCCGUCGUGCAAAGUACGGCGAUGACAACAUGGAUAUGGACGAGCAUUUGGCCGCAAACAUCGCCAAGAAACGGAAGUGGGUUGAGCAUGGAGUAUGGAGUAUGGAGCGGGGGUUGUUGUUUUAGGGUUGUUCUUUUCCUUCGGAUAGAUAGUUCAGCACGGAAAGAAACGGAGAGUUAACCUGAAACCCCGGCAUGUGUGUGUGUGUGUGUGGGUGGGUGGGUGCACUGCGCCAGUGGUGCGCAAAAGGAGGUGCAGGGUAGGAGGACAAACAACGGCGGAUUUGUGAUCCGCGCAACCCUCUCUAUCUCACCACAUCACCCGCCGUGAUCACUGUAUCGUACACCGUACACUGCACCGUACCGUGUGGUGCCGUACGUAUAACCCCCCCCACACACACACACACAAAUGCAGGUUUCGGGGCACCGAGCUUGAUGUGGACGCGGAGUACGAUUAUGACGGCGGUUUGGAGUUGUACGAGAGUCGUACC
rnacentral:lncRNA from 1 species